AGCAGUCGCCACGGGAAUACGGAGGGAGCUAGCGUUAUUCGGAAUUACUGGGCGUAAAGCGCACGUAGGCGGCUUUGUAAGUUAGGGGUGAAAGCCUGGGGCUCAACUCCAGAAUUGCCUUUAAGACUGCCGAGCUAGUAGGUGAGAGAGGUAAGUGGAAUUCCGAGUGUAGAGGUGAAAUUCGUAGAUAUUCGGAAGAACACCAGUGGCGAAGGCGGCCCGCUGGACAUGUAUUGACGCUGAGGUGCGAAAGCGUGGGGAGCAAACAGGAUUAGAUACCCGCGUAGUCCCUGUCUCUUAUAC
rnacentral:rRNA from 1 species